CAGUCGCCGCGGGAAUACGUAGGGUGCAAGCGUUAAUCGGAAUUACUGGGCGUAAAGCGUGCGCAGGCGGUUUUGUAAGACAGAGGUGAAAUCCCCGGGCUCAACCUGGGAACUGCCUUUGUGACUGCAAGGCUAGAGUACGGCAGAGGGGGAUGGAAUUCCGCGUGUAGCAGUGAAAUGCGUAGAUAUGCGGAGGAACACCGAUGGCGAAGGCAAUCCCCUGGGCCUGUACUGACGCUCAUGCACGAAAUCGUGGGGAGCAAACAGGAUUAGAUACCCGGGUAGUCCCUGUCUCUUAUAC
rnacentral:rRNA from 1 species